rnacentral:rRNA from 1 species
UACGAAGGGGGCUAGCGUUGUUCGGAUUUACUGGGCGUAAAGCGCACGUAGGCGGAUCGUUAAGUCGGGGGUGAAAUCCUGGAGCUCAACUCCAGAACUGCCUUCGAUACUGGCGAUCUUGAGUCCGGGAGAGGUGAGUGGAACUGCGAGUGUAGAGGUGAAAUUCGUAAGAUAUUCGCAAGAACACCAGUGGCGAAGGCGGCUCACUGGCCCGAUACUGACGCUGAGGUGCGAAAGCGUGGGGAGCAACAGGGAUUAAGAUCCCUUGGUAGUC